rnacentral:rRNA from 1 species
AAAGGAAUAGACGGGGGCUCACACAAGCGGUGGAGGAUGUGGCUUAAUUCGAGGCUACGCGAAGAACCUUAUCCCAGGCUUGACAUGCUGGAUGCUACUCCUGAAAGGGAAGUUAGUUGCCUCCGGGUGAAACAAGCACAGGUGCUGCAUGGCUGUCGUCAGCUCGUGUCGUGAGAUGUCAGGUUAAGUCCUUUAACGAGCGAAACCCCUGUCACUAGUUGCCAGCGAGUAAUGUCGGGGACUCUAGUGAGACUGCCUUCUGUUAAAGAGGAGGAAGGUGGGGAUGACGUCAAGUCCUCAUGGCCUUUAUGCCUGGGGCUGCACACGUCCUACAAUGGCGUACACAAAGGGAAGCAAAAUCGCGAGAUCAAGCAAAUCCCCAAAAAUACGCCCCAGUUCGGAUUGUAGUCUGCAACUCGACUACAUGAAGUCGGAAUCGCUAGUAAUCGCGGGUCAGCAUACCGCGGUGAAUAUGUUCCUGAGCCUUGUACACACCGCCCGU